GCCGCCCACAGAAUGGAGACCAUUUGCAAUACAAUGGUUUCCGACACAUCUUUAGCUAGUGUAAGGUUCGCUCUAGCCCUGUAUGAUAGAUAUUGGCGAUCAGAAAACACGAAAAUCAGCAUAAAAAAAUAAAUAUGUACGGCUAUAUGACUUAACCCCUUCACGAACCGCAGGUGGAUGCAACCUCUACUAGACAAACUAUAGAUCUGCCUUGAAAUCUAAAAAUAAAAAAAAUAAAAUUUUUACAUGGACGGAUGUCGAUUAGUUGCGGAUUAGGCAUGAAAAUUCUAUGAACUGACAAUUAGACGAGAGCGUAAGCGCCAAUUACAUCAAGUUUUAUUUCAGUCAUGCAGGUUGCAAUGCGGCCGAGACCUGACAGUCAGCUGAUGACAGGGAGCCUGUCUGCUUCAAUGGGUGGAGCGAUCGCUUGGUGGGAGAGAGAUCAACCUGCAACUAAUGCAACAGCUGUAGGCACCCUGAUUGAAAACCACAGGUCUUUUGAAUGGAUGCAGCUCA